GAGAAUGUUGUACCUCUACUCAAUUUCCAUUUGCAAAAGGACCAUGAAAUCUACUCUAUGGUCAGCUGAGAUUCUUGGGCAAAAACAUUUGUAGAGUAGGCUAAGAAAUAGUGCUGGAGAUUUCCCUAUAAAUUAUGACAAAAUUUCUCUCAUCCUCAUUUGGUUUUUGAAAAAUAGCCUACUAAACCAAUACAGCAGAAAGAAAAAUGUUGAGUAUUCCAGAGGUAACAAAACCAAAUUUAGUAAAAUGCAUUGUUUCUGCCAAGCCCACACAACUCUGAUUAAAUUGCUAGUGAACUGGAGGGAAAGGGAGAAGCAAUGGACAAAGAGUAAGAGAUUAACUUGCUCUCUUGGCUCAGCAAGCAGGAUUUGCAUGGCGUCCUUUCAAGAACCUUGGAGCACUAAAGACACUGUCUCAUUCUUCUCCCACAAUCUUUUAGAUAAUGAGUAUGAUGAUUAGUUCUAUUUUCCAAGUGAAAAAAAAAUCAGGCACUACCUAAUUCUGGAACAAGUUAACAGGUGCCUCCUGACAUGAUGCGAUGGGGAAUACUUCACAUUGCCUAUGUAACUUUCUGGCCAAAGACAGUUUCCUCUGAAUCUAAACAUAGAGAAACAAUCAGACAAACGCAGAUUUCAGGAUUUGCUACAGGACAUCUGAUCUGGACUUUGAAAAAUGUCAAUGUCUCAAAAACAACAAAAAGCAAAGCUAAUAAUAAAAUUAUGGUUCCAGAAGACAGAAGAUGACUAGAUCCCUGAGUCGUUGCUUGGACAACAGCAGCCUAGAGAAUCAUCCUACCAGAUGCCUUGUGUUAUACUGCUGCAUGAAUGUGAAAUAAACUGUUACUGUGUUAAGCCACUGAAAUGCCAAGAUUGCCUGUUAC